CAAUCUAGCACUUUUAGGUGUUAACAUUGUACUAAGAUGAAGCAAGAAAGUAACGGCUCAGUACGUGUGAAACCAAGAAGGACAAUGUGCGGAUGGUGUGGGCAAGGUCAAGGGAGCCCGUGAAGAAAGAGCAAGCAAUCAGGCUCUGGGACUAGCUGCAGGAAAAAAUAUUUAUCUUGGCACGAGGGGAAACACGAAGGAGGCACAGUGUUCCCAGAACCCAGCAAGGGCUUACAACUGGGAAGGGGACUUCCCAGGAGGAGCAAGUUAGGAAGUUGUGAAGGUGGCACGAGUGGAGGUAGCAGGCAGAAGCAAAGUCAGAAGCAGCCACCAUGGCAAACGUGAGAAAUGGCAUGGAGUUGGGCUGGCAUCACUGAUUGGAGCAAGGGCUACGGGGCUAGUCAUUUCUUUGGGCCGGGACUGAGGUUUGUACGUGCCAUUCCAGUCCCAUGGGAGGCAAAGCCCCAGCACCAGGUAAGCAGCGCAGAGUUCUGUGUCUGGAGUAUCCUGGGUAGGUGGCAUCUCAGAAAUGCAAACCAUCUACUUCCCCAUCCACCACCAUCUAUCAGGAAUAUGUUACGCAUUUGCAUUUUAAUAGGCAUUUUAUAUGCUUUCUCCUUUAGUCCUCAUUAACGAUGCUUUUUUUUUUUACAAAAAAAAAAAAACUCAUUGUAUAGAUGAUCAUUAAAGCUCAAAGAGAUAAAGAAGAAACUCACUCAAGGUCACACAAUUUAACUUUGGAAGACUCUGAUUCCCAAAUCCACGCUACUUUAUGCUGAGCCGUGCUCUGCCUGGAUUCAAUCUCUAGUCCCAUAGACAUGAUCCAGCUGGGACGAGUGACCAUGUUGGAGAAGAACUAUGGGCCUGCCUAAAGUUGGUGUCAGAAGUUUGUGUUGGGAUGGGGCUUCAACCUCAACAUCAAGAGAAAAACAACGAAUAGCAAUGGCUGUUACCUUAUCCUCUGACAUUGCCAUGUGACCAUGUCCUACUGUCGUUAAAGUUAGGGGCUUUCAUCACACAUGCCUGCACUCACCCUCAGUCUUUACCUCAGACAUGCCAAAUGAUCUUUGCCAAAUUACUCAACUUUUCUAAGCUUUUGUUUUCCCAUCUCUAAAAAAGGAAUUAACAGUUUUCUUCUUCAUGGAACGGUUGUGAGAAUUCAGUGAAAUCACGUAGGGAAAGCAUUUUGUACAGCACCCAGAACCAGAUUUCUGGAUCCUAAAACCUUGUAGCAUAUGUACACUUGUUAACUUGCUAUCAUGAGUUACUGUUUGUCAUCCAUGUCUGUGUAAUUAAAAGAGUUGAUGUGCUUAUAUUUAGGAGAACCAAAGAAAGAAAUCAGAAUGGAAAAGGAAGGCCCAAGUUAGAGUAAAUAGAGGCACUUCCAGGAGGGGAGGAGAUAUGACCAAAUCCCUGAGGCUUGGGAGAAGAAAGGAGGAAACCAGGCUGAGUGGGGCUCACCCACCAUAUAAAACUCUUUAGUUCACAGGUUCUCAGCCUUGGCUGCAUGUUGGACUCACCUCAGAGUAUUGAGCAUGCCUGGGCUGCACCCCAGAGAUCCUGGCUUAAUUGGUCUGGGUGUCAGGAGCUGUAGCAUUUGCCUGAUCAUGAGUCUACUGUGCAGCAAAGUGUCUGCUUAAGCGUCAUAUUAGCAUAUCUGUCUCCUCUUCCUCAGCCACUCCAGGCAUCUGUUUUGAAAUCCACUGAACAUGGCUCCCAUUCAAAUUUUCCAGGAUCUCCACAAUAUCACAUCUUUCUCAUUCUCAUCCUUCUUAUCACCCUUUUGGGUUUGUAACAGAAUAUGACUGUCCUAGCCUAGACAUGACAUGGGUCACAGUUGCUUUGACUUCUGUUCUCCAUCCAUUCUGGACACGCCAGUGACCAUCAAGCAGGGGCAGACCCCACGUCCUCUACCCUGCCCAGGCCUGUCCUGUUUGCUAAUGAAGACUGUGAGUCCCUAGAUGCAGAGUUGGAGUCCUGGUUACCUUUGCAGUCCCAGCCCUGACCCAAGGCAGUGGGUGCAGUCUGAAGGCAAUCAUGAGCCAAA
rnacentral:lncRNA from 1 species